AGGGAAUCUUGGACAAUGGGCGAAAGCCUGAUCCAGCCAUGCCGCGUGAGUGAUGAAGGCCUUAGGGUUGUAAAGCUCUUUCGCCAGGGAAGAUAAUGACGGUACCUGGAUAAGAAGCCCCGGCAAACUUCGUGCCAGCAGCCGCGGUAAUACGAAGGGGGCUAGCGUUGUUCGGAAUUACUGGGCGUAAAGCGCACGUAGGCGGUUUUCCAAGUUGGAGGUGAAAUCCCUGGGCUCAACCCGGGAACUGCCUCCAAAACUGGAUGACUCGAGUCCGAGAGAGGUGAGUGGAAUUUCCAGUGUAGAGGUGAAAUUCGUAGAUAUUGGAAAGAACACCAGUGGCGAAGGCGGCUCACUGGCUCGGUACUGACGCUGAGGUGCGACAGCGUGGGGAGCAAACA
rnacentral:rRNA from 1 species